UACAAAGAGGAAUGGUCGAACUCUCGCGCACUUUCUUUUCAGCGCUGUGUGUGUAUACAUUCGCUCAGCUGUUCUGGUCAGAAGUGAUCACUCGGCUCAUCUGAUUGCACAAAUUUUCGAAGCUCUGUGGUUUAUUUUUAGUACAAAGGUGCCAUGUCGUUUCGGAACGAUCCUCGUGGAUUUUUGCUGCGUAACAGCAGGCUACGUUGUUUCUGAUUCGGUCGAUACACGACGUUCUGUUUUCUCGUUGAUCGGGAGAAAGACCAGCGUGUUCACGCCACUCUCCUCGGCCUGUGUUCUCGUUCUGGAUAUAAUUUGACGUUAAUCCGUGAUCGAUGCGUUCCGCAAAUUGAUACCGAACCCCGACCGUAACGAGCCAGCCAGAAUCAUGAAGAAGUCACGUCCGAAUAUUUUCCGUGACAUCUACUAUCAGCCAUACAAUGACUGCACCAGGAUGAAUCUUUACGGCAGCAGCAAAGCGAGCCUUCAAAUGAUGCAGCGUAUGACUCUGUUAAAGAGACUGAAAGUGCACAAUGGUUGCAUCAAUUCUGUCUGUUGGAAUGCUACCGGUGAUCUAAUAUUGUCUGGUAGCGACGAUCAACAUCUUGUACUUACGAACCCUUAUACCUACGAGGUGUUGUCAAAGUAUAAAACCAGCCACAGAGCAAACAUAUUUAGCGCGAAGUUUCUUCCAAAUAGCGGAGACCACCGGAUAGUUUCCUGUAGCGGCGACGGCAUUAUUUUGUACACAGAUUUAAUGAGAAAAGUAGAAACAUUUUCCAAUCGAUUCAAUUGUCACAGCGGCACUACCUACGAAGUAGUCACGAUACCCGGUGAACCGCAUAGUUUUCUAAGUUGCGGCGAGGACGGAACAGUGAGAUUCUUUGAUCUCAGAAUAAAGGACAAAUGCAAUACGCAAAAAUGUAAAGAGGAUGUGCUUAUUUCUUGCGAGAGAGCUAUAACAACCCUGUCUAUAAACCUCACCAUGCCACAUCAAGUAGCAAUCGGUUGUUCGGACGGAACAGUACGAAUAUACGACAGAAGAACGCUAGGAACUCCGGCCACCGGACUGACAGAAGCGAGCGCGAUGGAUGCCAUAUGCACAUUUACCGUUCCCGAAUUCGAAGGAAGUUCUCACAGGAUGACAUCGUUGACUUACAGUCCCGACGGGCAAGACAUUCUCGCCAGCUACUGCAGCGACCAUAUUUAUUUGUUCAACAUAAAGGACCAAGGCAACAUUCAGUUGAAGAAAGACGUUCCGGUGGAAAAGAAAGAGGUGAAGAAGCUGCGGUCACCGUUGCCGGUUCGCAGAUUGAGACUCAGAGGAGAUUGGUCCGACACCGGGCCGGAUUCGAGACCCGAACGCGAGGGAGCUCGCCGCAGUAGGAGACAAAUAGCCCAAGCCAGACCGGUGCUUCACACGUCGUUGAUGCAGAGAAUGACCGAUGUUCUGAGCCGAAUGUUGAACGACCCGGUGACUAGAGCCGCGUUAUGCGGCGGGGGCGAGGACGGUUUGGAGGGUGUGGUCUUGAAUCAAGAGAAUACUCAAAACAGCAACGACAACGCGGCGGAGAACAGCGAGGAGAGACAAAGCGAAGAAGCGGAAGGUGGCGAGACCGCUACCGUGCAGAGUACUCGGGAAACGAAUAGAUUGGUGGACGAAAUGGACGACGAGGGGACCGACGAGGGCAUGGACGAAGGGACCAAUCGAGGGGCCGACGCGGUGACGGAUACGGUGACGGACGUGGGGACCGACGUCGGAAUCGACGGUGGAACCGACGAAGGCUCGGACGAGGCUCAGUCGAGCAAGGAGUCCGAGGAUUACAGCGAGUCCUACGACUCUGAUUUCGUGAAACAGAAGUAUAUGGGCCACCGCAACGCAAGGACCAUGAUUAAAGAAGCGAACUUCUGGGGAAACGAUUUCGUCAUGUCGGGUAGCGACUGCGGCCACGUGUUCGUCUGGGAAAAAGCGACCGCCAAACUGUGCAUGCUGCUGGAGGCCGACCAUCAUGUCGUCAAUUGUCUGCAGCCCCAUCCCUAUCUACCCUUAUUGGUCACCGCUGGUACAGACCACGACGUCAAACUGUGGGCUCCCACAAACGAGGAGUCCGGCUUCGACGAGAAAUUUGCUGAAGAUCUGAAAAAGAGGAACGCGAUCAUGCUGGAACAAACCAGAGACACUAUGACCGUACCUGCUAGUUUUAUGAUCAGAUUGCUGGCGUGUCUCAAUCACAUACGCAGAGGUAGUGAAAAUUUAUAAUACUCCCCAAGACUUCUAAUCGAUAGUUGUGACUACGGUAGUAGUAUGAUCGGCGACACAUAGUUAAGAAAAAUUAAUGUACCGAAGAGUUUGGCGGCUUUUCCUGUGACGCGCAGGACGCGGUCGGAUCAGGGGACGAAGCGGAUACGACUCCACCGCAUUAUGAAGUCGCUAAACGAUUUUCAAAGGAACUGCCGCCGGUUUUAGCGUGGGAGGACUGUUCCGAUCGGACGACAUAUCACGUCGAUCGCCCAACACCGAUUAGUCGAGUUCGCAGGGAAUAUGGAUCCAGGAAAAAACGGAAACAAAAAAAAUAUAUAUAGAAGGGAAACAGAGAGUUCAACGUAUAUUUAUGAUUCA